GCCGGGCUCCAAGCCAGCGAGCCGGGCUUCUUACCCAUUUAAAGUUUGAGAAUAGGUUGAGAUCGUUUCGGCCACAAGGCCUCUAGUCAUUUGAUUACCAAAGAAAACUGCGCAUU